rnacentral:rRNA from 1 species
AACGAACGCUGGCGGCAUGCCUAACACAUGCAAGUCGAACGAGACCUUCGGGUCUAGUGGCGCACGGGUGCGUAACGCGUGGGAACCUGCCCUUAGGUUCGGAAUAACUCCCCGAAGGGGGUGCUAAUACCGGAUAAUGUCAUCGGACCAAAGAUUUAUCGCCGUUGGAUGGGCGCGCGUUGGAUUAGCCAGUUGGUAGGGUAAAAGCCUACCAAGGCGACGAUCCAUAGCUGGUCUGAGAGGAUGAUCAGCCACACUGGGACUGAGACACGGCCCAGACACCUACGGGAGGCAGCAGUGGGGAAUAUUGGACGAUGGGCGAAAGCCUGAUACAGCAAUGCCGCGUGAGUGAUGAAGGCCUUAGGGUUGUAAAGCUCUUUUACACGGGAUGAUAAUGACAGUACCGGGAGAAUAAGCUCCGGCUAACUCCGUG